rnacentral:rRNA from 1 species
CCUACGGGAGGCUGCAGUGAGGAAUAUUGGUCAAUGGGCGGAAGCCUGAACCAGCCAAGUAGCGUGCGGGAUGAAGGCCCUACGGGUCGUAAACCGCUUUUGCACGGGGAUAACACCCUCCACUUGUGGAGGUCUGCAGGUACCGUGCGAAUAAGGGCCGGCUAAUUCCGUGCCAGCAGCCGCGGUAAUACGGAAGGCCCGAGCGUUAUCCGGAUUCAUUGGGCUUAAAGUGAGCGUAGGCGGGCGUUCAAGUCAGCUGUAAAAUCGCGCGGCUCAACCGCGCCCCGCAGUUGAAACUGGACGCAUUGAGUUCACAACAGGCAGGCGGAAUUCGUGGUGUAGCGGUGAAAUGCAUAGAUAUCACGAGGAACCCCGAUUGCGAAGGCAGCCUGCCGGGGUGCGACUGACGCUGAGGCUCGAAGGUGCGGGUAUCAAACAGGAUUAGAUACCCCAGUAGUC